rnacentral:lncRNA from 1 species
GUUUACUAAACGGCUCAAUAUUUGUCACAAUUCUUGCCAGCUCCCUUUUGCUCUGUUUAUCCUGUACUGGUUCCUGGCUCAGUUUGGGGCUGAGGACACAACCCUGGAUGUGGGACCUCUGAGUGUCCAUUGUGGACUCAGAGAGGGUGGAUAAAUGAUGCUCUCAUCAACUGCUUCUCCUUUGCUACCUUCUCACUUCGUUCCCCAUGUCUGCACCGAGCUCCUUUCAGUAGGAAGAGAGUUGGGAAAUGAUGCAAUCCCUGUCCUGUCCUGUCCGCCCAUCCAAAAAUGUUGAGUGUAUCUAUGGCAAAAUGAUGCUGGUUUCAAUGAGCUAAAGUGAAAAGGAUAGAUGCUGGUUCGUUAUCUCUAAUUGCCUCACUUUGCAGCCCAGUCCUAGGCUAUCCAAUUGAGUAGACAGUACUUCUCUGUUUGGGGCUCUUUGGUCUUACAGUAAUCUUCUCGGAAUAGAACUUCUACGAUUCUUUCUCUGAAAUAAUAAGGUUUAAGGCCACAUCUGUGAAGAUAUAGCAGAUAGCUCAUUUCAACAGGAAUUGUACGUGAAGGGCCUUUAAAAAUCUCUUCCUGAAGGUCUGCUAAUGAAACAGCCCUGAGAUCUCAAGGGCCAGGGAGAGAAACAGGUGAUAAACAUAACACAGCUGAUAACAUUGAGGAUUCAAAGUGAUCCUCAAUUAGUGGGGCACCAGGUGUUCCAAAGGAGCUACAUAAAAGACGAUGUGGAAAGAGAAGGAGAGGGAGGGUGUUGGAGAGUGUGCUUCUGGUUUGCUGAGGCUGGAGAUCUGCUUUGGAGCAGGAGCUUGCCUCUCCAGCGAGGACUCACCACUUGGCUUGGCACUAUGGAAGCACUCUCAGCAGUUUGGUGGCUCUGUGCAAGUCAUGAACCGUGCGUGGGAUGUGAGAUGCAGAAGUCCUUCUGCCAUCACCUGCUGCUCUCCUGGGACUUGCAUUACCUCUAUCUCCUGCUUGUGGAAGUGGAAGGCUGUGCUGGGAGCUCAUGCUGUAGGUGAUGGGGAAGGGGGAAACGUGUUUUAGCUCCAUCUGUUUCCUCCAGAAUUCAGACUAGCUCACAGCACGCUGUCUGCAGCGAUUACCUUUGUCUCCGGCUUCCCUGCUGGAGGAAGAGCUGAACAGAGCUGGUAAAUUACAGAGCUCUGUGUUGGAGCACCAAAGCGCUUUCAUUGCUACAAGUUGUUCUGCUCGUCUCUGGCCCAGACAGUAAACAAAUCUCAGAUCAUGGCGUUAAUGGUGUGAUACACAGCUGUCUCUCCAGCAGAGCUGAGGGAACUUGCUGCUUCGGCCUUUCAUCUGAGUGCUCUUGACAGGCAGUGCUUGACAAAUGGAGGGAACCCCGUGCUGCAGCGCAGCCUGGGAGUGCUCUGUCCUGGGGGGCUGCAGGGGGGAGGUCUGGUUUGUGUGGGUAAUAAAGAUGCUGCUCUCCUGGAGCCA